rnacentral:rRNA from 1 species
AUUGAACGCUGGCGGCAGGCUUAACACAUGCAAGUCGAGCGGGGUGAUGGUGCUUGCACUAUCACUUAGCGGCGGACGGGUGAGUAAUGCUUAGGAAUCUGCCUAUUAGUGGGGGGCAACAUCUCGAAAGGGAUGCUAAUACCGCAUACAUCCUACGGGAGAAAGCAGGGGAUCACUUGUGACCUUGCGCUAAUAGAUGAGCCUAAGUCGGAUUAGCUAGUUGGUGGGGUAAAGGCCUACCAAGGCGACGAUCUGUAGCGGGUCUGAGAGGAUGAUCCGGCACGCUGGGACUGAGACACGGCCCAGACUCCUACGGGAGGCAGCAGUGGGGAAUAUUGGACAAUGGGGGGAACCCUGAUCCAGCCAUGCCGCGUGUGUGAAGAAGGCCUUAUGGUUGUAAAGCACUUUAAGCGAGGAGGAGGCUUACCUAGUUAAUACCUGGGAUAAGUGGACGUUACUCGCAGAAUAAGCACCGGCUAACUCUGUGCCAGCCGCCGCGGUAA